GAUCGGUUGUUGUUUGAGAAGGCCUCCAACUUUCAUCGUUUGCGGAUUUGAGUAGCCAGCUAGUGCGUGUACCGUAAUGUCGGUCGGCUGUGGCUCUUCUUCCAUAUCUUCUUCUUCAUGUUCAUGGCUCUCUUCUAGAUGUUCAAUGACCUCUUCUUCUACUGGUUCAAUCAUAAGAAGUCUACCUUUUUUACAGCGAUGCUCGCGGCUCCACGGCUCGUCGCAAUGCCAAUAUAAC
rnacentral:lncRNA from 1 species